rnacentral:rRNA from 1 species
AGAAUGAACGCUGGCGGCAUGCCUAACACAUGCAAGUCGAACGAAGGCUUCGGCCUUAGUGGCGCACGGGUGCGUAACGCGUGGGAAUCUACCCUUAGGUUCGGAAUAACAGUUGGAAACGACUGCUAAUACCGGAUGAUGACGUAAGUCCAAAGAUUUAUCGCCUAGGGAUGAGCCCGCGUAGGAUUAGCUAGUUGGUGUGGUAAAGGCGCACCAAGGCGACGAUCCUUAGCUGGUCUGAGAGGAUGAUCAGCCACACUGGGACUGAGACACGGCCCAGACUCCUACGGGAGGCAGCAGUGGGGAAUAUUGGACAAUGGGCGAAAGCCUGAUCCAGCAAUGCCGCGUGAGUGAUGAAGGCCUUAGGGUUGUAAAGCUCUUUACCCGGGAUGAUAAUGACAGUACCGGGAGAAUAAGCUCCGGCUAACUCCGUGCCAGCAGCCGC